CUACGGGAGGCUCCAGUGGGGAAUAUUGGACAAUGGGGGAAACCCUGAUCCAGCAAUGCCGCGUGUGUGAAGAAGGCCUGCGGGUUGUAAAGCACUUUCGGUUGGGAGGACUGCUUCUAGCACUAAUAUUGUUGGAAGUUGACGUUACCUUCAGAAGAAGCACCGGCUAACUCCGUGCCACGCAGCCGCGGUAAUACGGAGGGUGCAAGCGUUAAUCGGAAUUACUGGGCGUAAAGCGCGCGUAGGCGGCUAGAUCAGUCGGGUGUGAAAGCCCCGGGCUUAACCUGGGAACUGCAUCCGAUACUGUCUAGCUUGAGUACAGGAGAGGAGAGUGGAAUUCCACAUGUAGCGGUGAAAUGCGUAGAUAUGUGGAGGAACACCAAUGGCGAAGGCAGCUCUCUGGCCUGAUACUGACGCUGAGGUGCGAAAGCGUGGGGAGCAAGCAGGAUUAGAUACCCCUGUAGUC
rnacentral:rRNA from 1 species